AAUGAACGCUGGCGGCGUGCCUAAUACAUGCAAGUCGAGCGAACGGACGAGAAUCUUUCUUCUCUGCUGUUAGCGGCGGAUGAGUGAGUACCACGUUACUAACCUACCUAUGAGGCUAGGGUCACUUCGGGGACCCUGAUCUAGUAUCGGAUGAUAUUUUGAAACGGAUGGUUCUUCAGUCCUAGCCCUUUUUGCUGUCACUUAUCCAUGUAACCGCGCUGCAUUAGCUAGGUGGUAAGGUAACGGCUUACCAAGGCAACGAUGCAUGGCCGCACUGAGAGGGUGAUCGUCCACACUGGAACUGAGACACGGUCCAGACUCCGACGGGAGGCAGCAGUAGGGAAUCGUCCGCAAUGGGCGAAAGCGUGACGGAGCAACGCCGCGUGAGUGAUGAAGGUCUGCGGAUCGUAAAACUCUGUUAGUAGGGAAGAAGAGAUGUGUAAGUAACGGUGGAGAUCUUGACGGUACCUAAUCAGAAAGCCACGGCUAACUAAGUG
rnacentral:rRNA from 1 species